rnacentral:piRNA from 1 species
UCCACUUCUAAAGCUUUGGGAUUAUAAACA